CUUUAACUCCCUGAAUUGCCCACAAAGUCUCCACUCUGAUCAAAUGGGUUUAUUCAUCUGGUGAUAGAAAAGAGCCUGUACUUUGCUACCUUUCUGCCAUAGCACUUGCUGCCUCUCCAGGCUGGGAAGGCUGGAGAUCUCUUUCUCUUUCUCCCCACGGAUCAAAUCGAAUUCAGAAAUACUGGUAAGAGAUCAGCCUUGCCAUUUGCUCAGCACUGUACUUUGCACAUAGAAGGAGCUUGGUUGAAGACCAGGCGACGGCAAGAAGUAAAAGUGCAUCAGAUUAAAGGCUAUCCAGAAUACCUUAAAUCCUCCACCAAACAGUUCCUUUAGCACGCACUGGCUGUGCUGUGAUCAAGUCGUAUUCUCUGAGCACAACAAUAAAUACUUUUUAAAAUAAGUAUUCUUGCCCUGGCA